GACGAACGCUGGCGGCGCGCUUAACACAUGCAGGUCGAGCGAGAACCGGGGCUUCGGCCCCGGGGAAAGCGGCGAACGGGUGAGUAACACGUGGGCAACCUGCCCUCGGCACCGGGAUAGCCCGGGGAAACCCGGAUUAAUACCGGAUGGCCUCCGGAGCCCUCGGGCGCCGGAGAAAAGGUGGCUUCGGCUUCCGGCUGAGGAGGGGCCUGCGGCGGAUUAGCUUGUUGGUGGGGUAACGGCUCACCAAGGCGACGAUCCGUAGCUGGUCUGAGAGGACGAUCAGCCACACUGGGACUGAGACACGGCCCAGACUCCUACGGGAGGCAGCAGUGGGGAAUCUUGCGCAAUGGGCGAAAGCCUGACGCAGCGACGCCGCGUGCGGGAAGAAGGCCUUCGGGUUGUAAACCGCUUUCAGCGAGGAGGAAGGGUUAGUCGUUAAUAGCGGCUAAUUUUGACGUUACUCGCAGAAGAAGCACCGGCUAACUCUGUGCCAGCCGCCGCCGUAAAAC
rnacentral:rRNA from 1 species